rnacentral:tRNA from 1 species
GCCUGGGUGGCUGAGUCAGUUAAGUGUCUGACUUCAGCUCAGGUAGUGAUAUCACAGUUUGCGGGUUUGAGCCCCACAUCAGGCU